AUGUUUAAGCCAAUAGAAAUCUUAUUCUACAAUAGUUGUCAAGAGAGUGCAAAUAUCUUAAAAAGAUACCAACUACCUCUAAUGAGAGGAAGAACCAAAUCCGGUCUGGUGGUUUAUGAGACCAAAGAAAUGAAGAAUAUGCUAAAGAGAGCGAAAAAACUUCAUCUUUUGCAUAUCUCCGACACCAACAAUCCAAAUAUUGAAAGGGGCCACUUCCUGGAUAAUGAGGAAUAA